GGCUUUGAAUGCCUAUUUCAAGAUCAUUUAUAAAUAUGUUAAAUAAAAGCAGUCCCAAAACAGAACCCUGAGGGACACCACUUACCACUUUUCUCCAGCCUGAAAAUUUACCAUUAAUGACAACUCGUUGUACUCUAUCCUUAAGCCAAUAUUCUACCCAACAAAAAGAAUAUUCAUCUAUACCAAUUUCUUUUAGUUUGAAGACUAACCUAUUGUGAGGAACCGUAUAAAAUGCUUUGGCAAAAUCCAAGUAGAGCACACCCACUGCAACACCCUGAUCUAUACUUCUACUUACUUCUUCGUAGAAUGCAAUUAGGUUAGUUUGACAUGACCUAUGUUUCAUAAAACCAUGCUGAUUAUUGCUAAUAACCAAGUUCUUCCCAACGAAUUCCUGAAUAUUAUCCCUUAAUAGCCCUUCAAAUAUUUUCCCUGUCACAGAAGUUAAGCUCACAGGUCUAUAAUUUACAGGCAAGGAUUUUGAACCCUUUUUAAAUAUAGGAACAACAUCUGCCUUCCUCAGUCCUCCGGUACAACACCUGAAACAAAAGAAUCUUGGAAAAUUAAAUACAGAGGUUCACUUAUUUCCCCACUUAGCUCCUUAAGUACUCCUGGGUGAAUACCAUCAAGCUCUGGAGCUUUAUUUACAUUAAUUUAAUAGCUGUAGCACCUUGUCUCGAGUUAUCCAAUCACAAGUUAUCUGCAAGUUUUUUGCAGCAAUCAUUUGCAUAUCUCUUGCCAUAUGAUCCUCAUUAAUAUAUACUGAAGAAAAAUAGUUAUUUAAAAUUUCUGCUUUUUCCCAGUCUUCAUUAACUAACAGACCCAUCUCUGUUUCCAG